AGAAUCAACGCUGGCGGCGUGCCUCAGACAUGCAAGUCGAACGAUUAAACUUUCCUUCGGGAAAGAUAUAAAGUGGCGCACGGGUGAGUAACACGUAAGUAAUCUACCUUUGAGUGGGGAAUAACAGUCGGAAACGGCUGCUAAUACCGCAUAAUGCAGCGGCAUCGCAAGAUGACAGUUGUUAAAGGAGCAAUCCGCUUAAAGAGGAGCUUGCGGCAGAUUAGCUAGUUGGUAAGGUAAUGGCUUACCAAGGCUACGAUCUGUAACCGGUCUAAGAGGACGGUCGGUCACACUGACACUGAAUAACGGGUCAGACUCCUACGGGAGGCAGCAGUCGGGAAUUUGGGCAAUGGGCGAAAGCCUGACCCAGCAACGCCGCGUGAAGGAUGAAGUAUUUCGGUAUGUAAACUUCGAAAAGAAUAGGAAGAAUAAAUGACGGUACUAUUUAUAAGGUCCGGCUAACUACGUGCCAGCAGCCGC
rnacentral:rRNA from 1 species